GUCUACGGCCAUACCACCCUGAACGCGCCCGAUCUCGUCUGAUCUCGGAAACUAAGCAGGGUCGGGCCUGGUUAGUACUUGGAUGGGAGAAAUGAGGUAUUGGCAAUG
rnacentral:rRNA from 1 species